rnacentral:rRNA from 1 species
UACGAAGGGGGCCAUAGCGUUGUUCGGAAUUGACUAGGGGCGUAAAGGGCGCGGUAGGCGGUGGUGAUCGAAGUACAGGCGUGGAAAGCCCCGGGACUCCAACCUGGGAACAGCGCUUGAGACUGGCACGCUCGAGUUCGGGAGAGGAUGGUGGAAUUCCCAGUGUAGAGGUGAAAUUCGUAGAUAUUGGGAAGAACACCGAUGGCGAAGGCAGCCAUCUGGACCGACACUGACGCUGAGGCGCGGAAAGCCGGUGGGGAGCAAAACAGGG